AGAACGAACGCUGGCGGCAGGCCUCAAACAUGCAAGUCUAGGGGGUGUAGCAAUACAUCACCGGCGGACGGGUGCGUAACACGUGGGAAUAUACCUUUUGGUUCGGAACAACGCAGGGAAACUUGCGCUAAUACCGAAUGUGCCCUUACGGGGAAAGAUUUAUCGCCAAAGGAUUAGCCCGCGUAGGAUUAGCUAGUUGGUGAGGUAAUGGCUCACCAAGGCUCCGAUCCUUAGCUGUUCUGAGAGGAAGAUCAGCCACACUGGGACUGAGACACGGCCCAGACUCCUACGGGAGGCAGCAGUUGGGAAUCUUGGACAAUGGGGGAAACCCUGAUCCAGCCAUGCCGCGUGAGUGAUGAAGGCCUUCGGGUUGUAAACUCUUUCGACGGGGACGAUAAUGACGGUACCCGUAGAAGAAGCUCCGGCUAACUUCGUGCCAGCAGCCGC
rnacentral:rRNA from 1 species